CCUACGGGAGGCAGCAGUGAGGAAUAUUGGUCAAUGGACGAGAGUCUGAACCAGCCAAGUAGCGUGAAGGAUGACUGCCCUAUGGGUUGUAAACUUCUUUUAUAUGGGAAUAAAAUGUUCCACGUGUGGGAUUUUGUAUGUACCAUAUGAAUAAGGAUCGGCUAACUCCGUGCCAGCAGCAGCGGUAAUACGGAGGAGCCGAGCGUUAUCCGGAUUUAUUGGGUUUAAAGGAAGCGUAGGUGGAUUGUUAAGUCAGUUGUGAAAGUUUGCGGCUCAACCGUAAAAUUGCAGUUGAAACUGGCAGUCUUGUGUACAGUAGAGGUGGGCGGAAUGCGUGGUGUAGCGGUGAAAUGCUUAGAUAUCACGAAGAACUCCGAUUGCGAAGGCAGUUCACUGGACUGCAACUGACACUGAGGCUCGAAAGUGUGGGUAUCAAACAGGAUUAGAUACCCUGGUAGUC
rnacentral:rRNA from 1 species